ensembl:lncRNA
GUUAGGCUGAGGGUGAGGGUGUGUGAGGGUGAGGUUGUGUUAGGCUGAGGGUGAGGGUGUGUGAGGGUGAGGUUGUGUUAGGCUGAGGGUGAGGGUGUGUGAGGGUGAGGUUGUGUUAGGCUGAGGGUGAGGGUGUGUGAGGGUGAGGUUGUGUUAGGUUGAGGGUGAGGGGAGUGUGAGGGUGUGAGAGACGCUGAUGAUUGGGGAGCGAGUUGGGAACCAGUCUCUCUUAAUUGCAUCGACUUCCUCGAUGCAAUCAACUGGGAACCGGUCAGAUCCCACGACGGGACCCCUCAGAUCUGUGUUUGUGUGUCCCAAGACGACAGGACGUUGUCAGCAGUUACGUCAUCAUCGCAUGCGUCAGUGGAUUGUUUUUUUAAGGAGAGCAGCUCCACUUCCUCCCGUGUUCCUCCUCACUCCCUCCUCCCUCCCUCCUCACUCCCUCCCCCCCCCCUCCUCACUCCCCCC